UAUGAAUAAGAUCUGGUGCACCAUCUAUGAGUUGGUACAUAUGCUGGUUACAACUGAGAGAAUCUUGAAGAGUUCAAAGGACUCUAUGCUUGCUGUAGAGUAGAUUCUUUCAAGAGAAAAUCUACUGAAAAGAAGAAAAAGUUUGUGAAGAAGCAUAAAGUAGAGAGCAAGAAGAAGGAGAAGAAGGCAGUCCCAAAGAAAAAGGCCCCA
rnacentral:lncRNA from 1 species